rnacentral:rRNA from 1 species
AACGAACGCUGGCGGCAGGCUUAACACAUGCAAGUCGAGCGCCCCGCAAGGGGAGCGGCAGACGGGUGAGUAACGCGUGGGAAUCUACCCAUCUCUACGGAAUAACGCAUGGAAACGUGUGCUAAUACCGUAUACGUCCUUCGGGAGAAAGAUUUAUCAGAGAUGGAUGAGCCCGCGUUGGAUUAGCUAGUUGGUGGGGUAAAGGCCUACCAAGGCGACGAUCCAUAGCUGGUCUGAGAGGAUGAUCAGCCACACUGGGACUGAGACACGGCCCAGACUCCUACGGGAGGCAGCAGUGGGGAAUAUUGGACAAUGGGCGCAAGCCUGAUCCAGCCAUGCCGCGUGAGUGAUGAAGGCCUUAGGGUUGUAAAGCUCUUUCACCGGAGAAGAUAAUGACGGUAACCGGAGAAGAAGCCCCGGCUAACUUCGUGCCAGCCGCCGCCGUAACAC